UCGAGAAUUUUUCUCAAUGGGCGCAAGCCUGAAGGAGCGACGCCGCGUGGAGGAUGAAGGUCUUCGGAUUGUAAACUCCUGUCAUUAGGGAACAAAGCUUCCGGUUAACUGCCGGGAAGCCUGAUAGUACCUGAAGAGGAAGAGACGGCUAACUCUGUGCCAGCAGCCGCGGUAAUACAGAGGUCUCAAGCGUUGUUCGGAUUCAUUGGGCGUAAAGGGUGCGUAGGUGGCAAGGUAAGUCGGGUGUGAAAUCCCGGGGCUCAACCCCGGAACUGCACUCGAUACUGCCCUGCUCGAGUACUGGAGAGGAGACUGGAAUUUACGGUGUAGCAGUGAAAUGCGUAGAUAUCGUAAGGAAGACCAGUGGCGAAGGCGAGUCUCUGGACAGUUACUGACACUGAGGCACGAAGGCCAGGGGAGCAAACGGGAUUAGAUACCCCCGUAGUCC
rnacentral:rRNA from 1 species